CUUUCUCCCCUCUUUCCUGGAGAGCGACUGUUCGGUAGGGUGAGAAUGGUAUAAAUUUCAAAAACAACGAAACCUCCUUUUGCCCCCCUCCGCAGCAGUCGCCUCCGGGCUUUACUGCAAGUUUACGG
rnacentral:lncRNA from 1 species